UAUUUGGUCGUAGACCCGAAACCAGGUGAUCUACCCUUGGUCAGGUUGAAGUUCAGGUAACACUGAAUGGAGGACCGAACCGACUUACGUUGAAAAGUGAGCGGAUGAACUGAGGGUAGCGGAGAAAUUCCAAUCGAACCUGGAGAUAGCUGGUUCUCUCCGAAAUAGCUUUAGGGCUAGCCUCAAGUGAUGAUUAUUGGAGGUAGAGCACUGUUUGGACGAGGGGCCCCUCUCGGGUUACCGAAUUCAGACAAACUCCGAAUGCCAAUUAAUUUAACUUGGGAGUCAGAACAUGGGUGAUAAGGUCCGUGUUCGAAAGGGAAACAGCCCAGACCACCAGCUAAGGUCCCAAAAUAUAUGUUAAGUGGAAAAGGAUGUGGCGUUGCCCAGACAACUAGGAUGUUGGCUUAGAAGCAGCCAUCAUUUAAAGAGUGCGUAAUAGCUCACUAGUCGAGUGACACUGCGCCGAAAAUGUACCGGGGCUAAACAUAUUACCGAAGCUGUGGAUUGUCCUUUGGACAAUGGUAGGAGAGCGUUCUAAGGGCGUUGAAGCAUGAUCGUAAGGACAUGUGGAGCGCUUAGAAGUGAGAAUGCCGGUGUGAGUAGCGAAAGACGGGUGAGAAUCCCGUCCACCGAUUGACUAAGGUUUCCAGAGGAAGGCUCGUCCGCUCUGGGUUAGUCGGGUCCUAAGCUGAGGCCGACAGGCGUAGGCGAUGGAUAACAGGUUGAUAUUCCUGUACCACCUAUAAUCGUUUUAAUCGAUGGGGGGACGCAGUAGGAUAGGCGAAGCGUGCGAUUGGAUUGCACGUCUAAGCAGUAAGGCUGAGUAUUAGGCAAAUCCGGUACUCGUUAAGGCUGAGCUGUGAUGGGGAGAAGACAUUGUGUCUUCGAGUCGUUGAUUUCACACUGCCGA
rnacentral:rRNA from 1 species